rnacentral:lncRNA from 1 species
UCAUAGGUGGCCUCGUGCCUACCUCGAGACACAACGACCACCGUCGUGGCCCAACACAUAAACGAUCCCACACGGGGAUCCGCCGGCUAUAAUAACUACGGGCACACAAGGUUAUGCUCUGCCUACCUGAUCAGGGUAGCACGCACCCAUAACCUUUCCUCAUUGGAGGUCAGGCGAGAGGCACAACAAUAGAACCAGUUAGGACCGUCCCAUACCGGUAAGCAUGGUUGCACUGGUCAGCAUCGAUUCAGCGGCACCAUGACUCAGCCAACAGAUGUUCAAGUUCAAUUUAAUCCGGUUAACUUGAAUGCAAAUAUGCUGAGCCAUGAUAAAAUAACAUGAUGCCAACCAUAAUACAUGAACAUGAUAUCAACAUCAUCAUGAGGGUAUCACAUAACUAUCCACCAUAUCAACAAUAACUCAUAUCCACUGAGCGUGGCAUACUGACUAGCAUGACCAUCUCCAACAUCAACAUGUACUACUAACAAGCAUAAACAUAUGAAAUAUAAUACUAGCAGGUAGAACAUGAUCACAGAGUAUAAGACAACAUAGCACAAAAGUGAACAUACAAAUCUGAACAUCACCGGAACAACGAUAACCAUCUUUUCAACAAGCAAAUAUUUAAUAAAGAUUCAAGUUGAAAACCAUGGCUACUGCAUUACUAUCAUGCAAGUGGGUAUUGUGGCUUGCCUGGGGGUGAAGAAGGCACCGAGGAGAAGUGCGGUGAAGCCGCGGAAAGAAUCGCCGGAAAACGUUCUCUCUCGGAGGGGGCUGAAUAAGGGCAAGGGCAUAAUGGUCAUUUUCACAGUGUCAAACCAUAGUGAAAACAUGACCAACAGAAAGAUAUUGACGAGAGGAAGAAGUGAGCGUUGGUUUCACUGGAAACAGAGUUACGGUUAAAAAAAUAGGAGGGUUUGAAGUUGAAGGACUUUUCUGCAAAAAUUUCCUCACAAAUAAGUCCCUGAGUGGAUAAGACAGAAGCGCAAAAUAGAAACACACUUUUGGUCAGCGAAAACGUAUUUCGGAGUAUACGUUUCCACUUAUCCACGUCAGCAUGGACUGGUCAACGCGGGGCCGGCGGCUUAGAGGCUUACAGGUGGGGUCCACACGCACGAGAUGGGGCCCGCCUGGCCAGCUGGCCGUGUCAACGCCCCUGUCUUCUUCUUCCUCGCGUUCCUCCCGAUCGGGAAAAGAGGGGAGGGAGCAGGGCGAGGCCGGCGGCGGCCCGGCUGGCUCCGACCACCUUAGGCCGAGCCGAGGCCACCGACGGACGCGGGAGGGCUCGCCGCAUCCAUCUAGAGGGCUAGAGGGCGUCGGGGAGAAGCGGGAUGGCGGCGAAGGGCGGCGCCAUGGGAGGGCAGAAGGUGGGUGCCGGUGGUGGCUUUUGGUGGCGUGGCCGGCUCCGGAUAGGCCGAGGGGGUGGGGCGGUUCUACGGGACGAGGGGAAGACGAUGGGGGAGUCGGGGAAGCACGAGGAGGCUCGCUUCGACCGAAUUUUGAGCGGAGCACCAGGCGAGGCUUCAGCCAUGGGAGGGCAACGGGAGCUCCUCGAGCUCGGGGAAGUGGCUAGGCAGGGCUAUAGGAGAGCGGGGAGGCUAGUGGUGAGGUCGAGAGGCUCGGGGGAGCGCUUAUAUAGCCGCGGGGAGGAGCUGCCGCGCUAGCGUCGCCGUGGACGUGUGGCCGACGCCACGGACGCGUGCCCACGUGCAUGAGCUCGGGGAAGACGACGGCGAGGCACAGGGCAGAGCUUCACGGGGAAGAGACGUCUAAGAGAGGGGCAGAGGAAGAGGCCGAGCGCCAUAAAAGCUCGGUCGGCCACAAAUCUCUCGUGGGCGUUCCUCGGCGAGCGUCGGCGAGGAAGCUGCUGGAGGGGGAGAGGGGUCCAUCGGAGCGGCGACAAUGAGAGCUAUCUACUGGACAUCAUCACAGGCACGAAACCGACGAGAGGGAGCGAUGCCAAAGCACAAACAAUACACCACAGCGCAUAGAGCGCGCCAACACACAUGCCAGCUAUGUGGUCACCACGAAACAUGGGGCAUUAAAUGCUCUACGGCACCCAAAAUGGUGUCUAGUGGUAAGUCCUUCGAAGAUGGGUUCGCACUGAGGUGGUAACUAGGUGAAAGAGGCUUUGGUCAAAUAGAAACAAUCCUCUGAAGUUUACUACAGUAAACUUCACCAGCUCAUUGUGGUCAACAGGGUGAAGCUAGGGACCAAACAAGAUGUCUGGGAUGUUUAGGAUAGGAAGGACUACAGCCCUGGGGAAUUUGAGGGUAAAAUGAUCAAGAUUUACUGCAGUUGCUUCAGAACUGCAUACUUGGUCCAUAAAUGAAGAUCAGAAAGAUGCUCUCACCUGAAGUGUCAACUUGAGCUACAAUUGGGCAAGGCUUAGUCAUUUGGACAUAUGAACAUGAUGUAAAAAGCUCAUGCCAAAUGGACGAACCAAAAUAGCACUUGCUUCACAAACAUCUCUGCUGACCAGAAACUUGGAAUAAUUAUGGUGAUCAAAUGGCUCAUUGAAAUGAUGCCAAAAUGGGUGGAGAGAUGUUCUAUGGGAAACAAAAUGAUCUGGUAAUUUCUCAGGAUUUGUGAAGCAAUAUAAAAUAUACUUGCUUCACAACCUGGAAAUAUUGCCAGAAACAAAGAUUUGCUCCUGUGCUCACAUAGAUGAUUGGAUGGGGCUGCAAAUGGGUGUAAGGGGUUAAUAUGAGCACAUUAAGAAGUGUGAAAAAGUUCAUCUCAUUUGGAUACUCCUAGCUAGUACUUCCUUCACAAAGCAUUAUGUCUGACAGAAACUUUGAAACUUCACUGAGGAAGAUUGGCUACGCAUAUAAAUUUGAACUUGUGCAUGGGGCAAUUAUUUGGACAUAUAAACAUGCCCAAGAAGGUUGGGAGUCAAUAGGAGAAAUAUAAAUGACACUUCCUUCACAAAGUGCCAUUUAGGGCAGAAUAGGAAAUAAAUUAUUGGAGGAUUAUUUUUGAACAUGGCAAUGAAAAGUUUUGCCAUAAUUGAUUAAGAUAUUACCCAAAAAAUUUAUGAGAAUUAUUUGGGAAUUUUUGGAGUGGAGGAAAUAUAGGUUGCUUCACAACCUAGGGCAAUUGGGGUUAUUCCUUUAAUAGAAAAGGAAUAUUCCCAAUAAAAAGAAUAUUGGGUUUUGGGCUAGGAUGGAAAUGACAGGGUCUAGGGAAAGAUUUGGGUAUGACAAGCCACUCUGGAAGCAAAGAAGAGGUCAUCUUCUUCAGUUUCCAGACCACAAAUCCACGGAAAAAAAGAAAAUUCAGGCAAAAACCUCGGAAAAACAAAAGAAAAAGAAAGGGCCAAAAAUCAGGCUGUGACAAACCUUACCCCCUUAAAGAAAUCUUGUCCUGGAGAUUUGGUUGCUUAGGGAACUAGUAUGAAUAUUCUGACUUAAGGAAACCGUUUCCAACUCGGGUAUCCCUUUUUCCUUUAUUGUUGUUCCCACUAAAUUUUUAUCUGACUGGCCCUGCGGUGGUUUGCUCCACUGUAUCCAUAUUCUAACAGAUCUUACCUUGCUUGUCCAUGCUUAUAUAGGCUCCAAUUUCGUUUUAGAUCUGCUGACUAGCUGAGUGUGAUCACGACUGAAAUAUAUGUCCGUCUUACAAAUCCAAAAGUGAUUUCCGCUGGGUGUGCCACCCGGCACUGACAACCUUUCAUGUAAUGAUGAUCAGAAUUUUCUGAUGAAAACUCAAGCUCUGACGCAUUGCAUUGGAUUUCUCCACUAAAUGCAGUGCCUUUGGGUUCCAAACAGUGAGUUAAAACAUAACUGUUUCCUGACAGAUUCUGACUCAUCACAGAAGUUUCUGAAUCAUCUUAACUGGUUCCACUACCGUGAGUAUCGGAUCCAUACCAAAUAUUUGAUUGUCUCCUGUCGGGGCCAGCAUAAAGGGUUUGGCAUGUAUGAUAAUAUUUGUAGGCUCGACUGACGUAGACUGUCCGAGGGAUCUGCACCAUGGGGGUCGUGCAACAAUUUUCAUAGCUGCAUCACUGGUCUUGCUCCUUCAUUAUUGUUUUCUUGAUCUCAAUCCUUGGCUGAAAGAGCUGGACCAUAUUGUUUCUUUGUAUGACCAUAGGUAUUGUCGGUGCAAUUUUUCGGCAAUUGUAGCUUAUCCUCAUUUUUCUUGACAGAGUAACCUAUUAAAUGACAGGUUCAACACUUCUCAAAUUCCGGUCGUUGGGAAAUGAUCAUCCGAAACCCUUGCAAGAAAUCGGCGAAUAAAUCAGUAGCCACCAGAACGGUCUUUACCACACAGAUCUAGGACGUUACUGAAAUAACUCAACCACGGCUCAAGACGGUCAAAAAGCAACUCAGAGCAUGAGACCGGGUCGAUAAGAAGAAGGUGGCAGCUCCCUAAAAUAGCCAAAAAGCAGCUAUAGGGCUACUGUCACAAAAAGAAACUCAACAACUGUACGAGACGGCCGAAAAGCAGCUCAGACUCAUGACAGUCGUUCAAGAGAGAAACAAAAAUAGGCAUCCACCCCGGAUAGCUAGAAACAUCUCAGAUUACAGGCGUGGUGCCAUCAUUGGAGAAAAAAAAGGGGACAAGGGCUCAUUAGGAUCAUUUUCCAGGUUCAUGGGUGCUUGUAUUGAGCUCAUUAAUGUCGUCAAUCCUCAUACUCCUUUAUCACACUGUGGUGUAUACUGGCUUUCUUCUAUUAACCAUCCUCACGUGGUUGUCAGAUUCACAUACGAGUGACUUGUAAGAUCUUGAUGGUAUGCUCAUUGCAUAUAUAUGAGGACCUGAUUCCGAGACAGACGUGUAUUCUGACUGAUUUCUUAAUUCUUACCAAAAUGUUGCCGAUCUGGUUCUUGGGAUUCACUGCCAUAUGCUGUUAAUUCACAUCGUACUACCUUGUACCAAUGUCUUACUGAGAAAGAUCGGCUGACUUGUGCUCGAAACUUUCAUCGGACAGCUUGCUGAAGAAGACUGAAUAUCAUGCUUCAGAAGCUUAACCCCUUAAAGACUUUCCUGGGGAAAGACUCGGUACCUUAUGCUGGAAGCUUUUGUAGUUGUUUACUGAAGAAGACAGGGUACCUUGGACGGGAAAUCAUCCACGUAUCGUACUGAGGAAGAUAGAUGAAGCUUGCCUUGGAAACUUCUCUGGUAUUUUGCGAGGGAAAAUUGGGUUGCUUCCACCAGAAUCUUCUUAUUGUGAUAUGCGGACCGAUUUCCACAUAUACAUACCAUCUUAAUAUUUCUGUUGUUGAUUUCUUGUAUGAAACAGGGUUUUACUGGACUAUCCUCCUUUCUAAGUACAUGCUAUAUUUUUGCUUGCUUCCAGGUACAUCGAGUUCCAAAAUCAUCCUCAAUGAAAAAUUGAACUUAUAUCUGAGCCAUACCUUUGAUAAUAUUCUGUCAACCUUGCACACAAUUUAUCUUCUUGCUGAUUUAAUCAUUUUGUUGUGAUGAGUGCAUGCUAAUGCAAGCUUGAUACUGACGGUCCAUCCAGGAUUUCUUUUGCAUCCAGAGAAGAUAUUCCCCAUUUCACUGGAGUCAGCUGAUAAUUCCAUUCUGUGUAGCUGAGUUUCCAAAUAUAUGCAUAUCUUGCUAACUCUUCGGGUCCGGUGUCGGCUGACGAGCAACUUUAAUAAGGGAAACAUUUGUAACACCGAAGGCCCAAAGAAAAGAAUAACAGAAACGACUAAAACAAAAGCACACAAGCAUACUACUAAGAUAAUUAAUCAAUCAAUCAUCACAUAUUACUACUAUUCACCCAAUAUGCAUGCCUACUUAAGCACACAAAUUUCAUGAAAUCUCCGGUACUACGAUCUAGCAUGCUGUGAUGAUGUGCAUGAGGACGAAUAAAUGUGUGGAAGAAUUGGUGUAAUCAGCGCUACACCAAGUGCUUGCUUAGCCAGAUAGCAACCUGGACUAGCUCGGAGGCGAGGACGUACUCGGUAAUCAUGUAGUGGGACACGAAGGUCGCAACCAUAUUAUUAUCAAGCGGACGGAAAAAGAUCUGUACUCGUCCCAAAAAUAGGAUAGCGGGGGAAAACUGAGGCUGCUCACAUUGCCCUUUCUUGAUAACUAAGAUCAUUAAGGGUUGCCAACGCGACAAAAUAAAAAGAACGAUCCAGGAUAGAAGCAUGUCUAUCACCGAAAUGAUAGACGGGACUGAAAGAAAGAAAUCGGUGCGAUACCUGAGCACCAUUUUUGCAAACAGUGUCGGGAUCACUUGGCAUUACUCUGCUCGGACAGAAAUGACACCAAACACCGAAAGAAAAAGGAACUGGAGAAAUGCAAAGGUUGAGCUAUAGUGGAUCCGAACCGAUGCCAGCUACACUCACCAGAUAAACCGUUAGUGACAAAUAAUAAUGCUAUAUGCAUGCCAUGCGACAAACAAAUGCAGCAAUCAAGUGCAACAAACCAACUGGUGUCUAUACUACCGCUUUCUAACGUUCGCGCGGUCUAGGGCAUCCUACAGCCAGACCUGCUCUGAUACCAAGCCUGUGGCACCCCGGCUCAGAGAAAACCGGAACGCCCCGUAUUCCAGCCCAGAGAUCGAGAAGAAGUCUUCUGGAAUACGACAUUGCUUAGCAUAGAACAAACCAGCCUUCUAUUAUUACACGAAUAUGAUUACGAGGUCUCCGAUAUUACAAUGAAUAACAUCGGCACGACGACACUACGCCAUCCUCAGUUGCUCUAUGCAAGCAGCAGAACAACUCGAAGCAGUGGAACAACAAAGACGGUGGUGAACUCCACUCCGCAGGGACUCUGGCUGGAACGCUUAUCCUAGCUCGCACGAACGGAAACCACGACAAGCAAGCAAUCAAAUCCGGCAUGACCUGAAACUGGCAUGAAACGCCAGGUCAGUACAUUGAAUUUACUUGCAAGCUCACAAUAAUCCAGAAGCAUUCAGGACAAACAACAACAUGGCAAUUACAGGUUAAACAAUAAUUAUCAUGAGAUCAUUAGAAUAACAUGGCAUGGCCAACAUAAACAUGAUACAACUAUCACAACAUGAACACAUUAAUUCAACAAUACUAGCAUGCAAAAUGAUGACACCAUAUGCACCACUUACUCUGCUCGGUUACCUCGUAGCCAACACAUGCAUCACCUACCAACCUCGGACAUCACACGAUCAUCUCGGGAUCAAAUCAAGCUUGGUAUAAACAAUACCGCAGCGAUCAGUAAAUGAACACAAGGAGCUUGAUCCUUACCCACGACUCUUGUACAACAUCACGAAUAUACAACAACUCGAUAUCCUCGAUACCAUCGUGAUCCUUACGGCGAUCACAACCACGACCAACACUUAGUCUCAAACCGUGAUCCUUACAGCGAUCACAACCCGACCACUAAAUGCCCCGUGGUCCUUACGGCGAUCACAACCCGACCAAUACCUGGCCCAUCUCAUUAUUAUUAAGCACAUUAUUCUUAUUACUGUGGACUCAUGGUGUGACCUUCUCUCGACCUGGGCCCUUAUCCGUGGGCGCGGCUAUCGAUAGAUUUAAUAUACACUCUGCAGAGGUUAGUACACUGUACCCACACUACGGAACCCAUGGCCUCGCACUCCCAUUCGGGUGGACCAACAGCGUUCCGACAAAACUGAUCUACUGCCAUGACACUCUCCCGGCCACUCCAACUCACUCCUCACUGAGCUAAGUCAUGGGUGGCCCCGUGCCUACCUCCAGACACAACGACCACCGUCAUGGCCCAAUACAUAAACGAUCCCACACGGGGCUCCGCCGGCUAUAAUAACUACGGGCACACAAGGUUAUGCUCCGCCUACCUGAUCAGGGUAGCACGCGCCCAUAACCUUCCCUCGUUGGAGGCACCGGCGAGAGGCAUAACAAUAGACCCAGUUAGGACCGUCCCAUACCGGUAAGCGUGGUUGCACUGGUCAACAUCGAUUCAGCGGCACCAUGACUCAGCCAACAGAUGUUCAAGUUCAAUUUAAUCCGGUUAACUUGAAUGCAAAUAUGCUGAGCCAUGAUAAAAUAACAUGAUGCCAACCAUAAUACAUGAACAUGAUAUCAACAUCAUCAUAAGGGUAUCACAUAACUAUCCACCAUAUCAACAAUAACUCAUAUCCACUAAGCAUGGCAUACUGACUAGCAUGACCAUCUCCAACAUCAACAUGUACUGCUAACAAGCAUAAACAUAUGAAAGAUAAUACUAGCAGGUAGAACAUGAUCACAAAGUAUAAGACUAAAUAGCACAAAAGUGAACAUCACCGGGACAAUGAUAACCAUCUUUUCAACAAGCAAAUAUUUAAUAAAGAUUCAAGUUGAAAACCAUGGCUACUGCAUGACUAUCAUGCAAGUGGGUAUUGUGGCUUGCCUGGGGAUGAAGAAGGCACCGGGGAGAAGUGCGGUGAAGCCGCGAAAAGA